UUUGCAUUGAGCCACUCGCGUCUGAUCUGUCUGUGCUGCAGGAGCCGACUGCCGCUGGGUCCGCUGCGGGGUUUUGGGGUUGAAAUCCGUCCAUACUGAACUGGCCAGGUGUCAAUGGAGAUGAUGAAAGUGAUUAGAUGAUUGUGAUGGCGAGCUACCCAAGAGCUUCGACUGAAAUAUUCACCAGCAAUUCCCCCAGUUCCCACUACUCCUGCCGGGCCGGGUAGGAGGCUCCAUUGGAGUCAGCCAGAACCUUGCACCCCACACUUCCACACACUAUUCCCCCCUCUGCUCCUUAACACACACACGCACACUCCUCUUCCGUUACUGGCAACGUGGAACUUUUUGUGAACUUUGGGACGGGGAUGCUGGGUCAUAAUUUAUGUAUUUAAUUGUUGAAUGAUGACAUGUGUUUUACAAAAUUCUGAUUGCAGCCUAUGGUGUCCAACAAUUGUGGGUUAAUCUUGCAUUGAUUUAUUUUUUUGUUCUUUAUCCAACCUCAGUAGUUGAGUUAUGUAUUUUACUUGAAAUACAAUUAUAUAAUUUCUGUGAAUUAUCUUUAUCCAACUUAAAUAGUUGAGUUAUUUAUUUUAUUUAAAUACAAUUAUAUAUUUUCUGUAAGUUAUUGUUACAGUAAUUUUCUGUUAUAUUUAUUUGUGUUUCUAAUAUAUGGUACCCUUUUUGCAACUCAAUUCUGGUCUCUGUGUGGUGUUUCCAGUCCUCCAUUUCCUUCCUGAGCCGAAUCUAUAUCUUCUGUUUAUCUAGCCUACUACUACUACUACUACUACUACUACUACUACUACUACUAUUAUUAU